UUGUGAACAAGUUUGAAAUUUUAUUCAGAUCUGAGGCCUUAUUAUAAACAAAAGUUCAAAAAUAUUAUCAUUAUAUUCACAAUUCUUUCAAAUUUAGCAAGAACCACAUAUAAUCAGUGACACAACCGGUAGAGUUAGAGGAAUAUAGUCAUUUCUUUGAAAAAAAACAAAGUAUUCUGAAAUGAUAGCGUGAUGCAGUCAGGGGUAAAGUAAGGUCUUCUCAAAGAACGGCAUUCUGAAAAGCUGAAAACGAUUAAUAAAUGAUAAAGUCUCACAAUCCAAUCGGCAUCAGAACUAUUGACAAUGUGAGAUCCUAAAGCGGCCUCACUCUUAAAAGUAAGAAAAACUUUACAGGGAGCAACUUUCUUUCGUAAAAGACAGCCAUUUUUCCCCAGGAGUUUUGAUAAGACCAAACUUGACACAAAGCACUAAGCUACACUUUCUGUCAGACAUUUCCAGCAGCAAUACUUGGUUGGUUUAACAGAAAAUUCCACUGAUGUACAGCAGGAUUCAUGGUGUCCCACAAGGCUUAGAAUGGAAAGGAAAUGGGACAGAGGAGAGCUUGCAGUUUGUUUUUUUCUUAAAGUGGAGCCAAAAUGUCACCGUAAUUUGGCGAUUUCAACCAUUCUGCCUUAUCAUUACCAGUGACCGUGCACAAAGUCCAAAAAACGUUCUGACCUGGCUGAUAAAUAUCUUUUGCUCUCUGUGCCACCUGUGGUCUGAGUAAACCAUCGCACUAAAGCAAGGUUUUUAAGGCGGCUCCGUCGCAGUAAUGACCGGCCUCAUCCUGCUCAAGUCUCCUUUAAUAUUCCUGAGAGCCACAUGGCCAGCAGUUGGUAGUGUAUACUUUGGACUGAUAUAGUGAUUCUAAAUGAGAAUGAGUUGGUGCUGAGGCCAAACAGCGACUUAACAACAACCUUGUAGCCUCCUGAAGGAGUCAGACAAGACAGGUGACCUAUUUUACCUGCUGAUACGCAACUACAAGAAGUCAUUUUGGAUAUCUCUCCUAACAGGGAGGCCAGUGGCUUCUUACUGGGCAGCGACAGGAACCGACCUGAAGCAAUUAACGAGUGAACGGCUCAACUCUUUCUCCUUAAAAAUGGCAUUUGACCACCUCCAUCGAACCAUAGAGAUGUGGUUCAAUGACUACUAGAAUAGUUUCCAUGUUUUUCCAACAGCAGCUGCAUAGGCAAAGACUAACCCGUCUAUUCUCUGAUGCAAACCCAGACAUGUUGUUCUAUAAGCAUGCCUGAAAUAUACAGAAACUACUCUUCAGGGGACCUUUCAACAGGGUAAAGAGUUAAGAAAGUAUGUCAGACUCUCCACUACAUCAGAAAAGGUGAUACAGGAAAACCAAUUUUUCUUAAAAUCGAGACUUUUCCCCUGUGCGUAUUUACUGCAGUAUAUCUCUCACACCAAUCUUUAGCUCUAACCGUUGACCUAUUGUUCACUGGAUAGACUAGCAAUCAACAUUUUUAUCCUGGCAAAAACAAGUAUUUAAGAAUAAAUUACCAUCUCAGUUUUAUCCUCCCACAGACAAAAAAUGCAGAGCCUGGUACUAUAAUACAUUUUGAGCAGUGUCUCACUUACGUUCUGUUCUCCCAGUCAGUCUAAUAAGGCAUGGCAGGGAAUGAGAGGCCUGCCACACCGAGAGAACUAUAUACAACCAAGGAGAGUGGGGGAGACUGUGUCUGCUUUAAUGGGGAGUUUCAGCCUGCUGACUGAGACUCGUACCAAGUAAGCCUGCACUGGCUGGUUUAUUGGGCUAACAUAAGCUGACAGAACACCUGAUUGCAGAUGCUUG
ensembl:lncRNA